UACGUAGGGGGCAAACGUUAUCCGGAGUUACUGGGCGUAAAGGGCGUGUAGGUGGUUUUGUAAGUCUGGCGUGAAAUUUUUCGGCUUAACCGGGAAAGGUCGUCGGAUACUGCAGGACUAGAGGACGGUAGAGGCGUGUGGAAUUCCGGGUGUAGUGGUGAAAUGCGUAGAGAUCCGGAGGAACACCAGUGGCGAAGGCGACACGCUGGGCCGUACCUGACACUGAUGCGCGACAGCAUGGGGAGCAAACAGG
rnacentral:rRNA from 1 species